rnacentral:rRNA from 1 species
GACGAACGCUGGCGGCGUGCUUAACACAUGCAAGUCGAACGGUAAGGCCCUUCGGGGUACACGAGUGGCGAACGGGUGAGUAACACGUGGGUGAUCUGCCCUGCACUUCGGGAUAAGCCUGGGAAACUGGGUCUAAUACCGGAUAGGACCACUGCCUGCAUGGGUGGUGGUGGAAAGCUUUUGCGGUGUGGGAUGGGCCCGCGGCCUAUCAGCUUGUUGGUGGGGUGAUGGCCUACCAAGGCGACGACGGGUAGCCGGCCUGAGAGGGUGACCGGCCACACUGGGACUGAGAAAGGGCGCAGACGCCUACGGGGGGCAGCAGUGGGGAAUAUUGGACAAUGGGCGGAAGGCUGAUCCAGAGACGCCGCGUGGGGGAUAACGGCCUUCGGUUUGUAAAGCUCUUUCAGUACCGGCGAAGGGAGAGUGACGGUAGGUACAGAAGAAGCACCGGCCAACUACGUGCCAGCAGCAGCCGCGG